CGACGGCGAUACGGGGACAUAUUUGUUGAGGGCAAAGCGCGCCAACCGGAGGCAACAACCCUUCUGUGGUUUGAGUUUGGUUCACGCUUGAACUUAACUAGAGUUCGUGAUCUGUAAGACCCACGUGUUUACAAGGGGCUGUAACUGGCCACAAGCAAAAGAUGCCUCCAGAUCUCUGCACAGGAAUUGUGAUUAGAGGAGCAGGACAGGACCUGGUGGUGAGCUGCCAUGCAGAUAAAAGUAGACCCUCUACCUGGAUUUCCUCUGAGGCCUGGUGGGCCUCGAUUUCCUUUCUGGCCAGGGAUGAUCGUGCCAGGAACACCUGGUGGCCCUGGGAGUCCUGUCACGCCAGUGGAUCCCUGUGGCCCCGCAUCUCCCACUGCCCCUUUCCUGCCCGGGAGGCCAGGUUUCUCUACGACACGGAAAAAGUUUGAAGAAGCUGCUUAUCUUGUCAAACACUGGCAUGAGAAAUCCAGACCCACAGUCUGGCAGCCUAAAAACCUG